rnacentral:lncRNA from 1 species
AAGUUGGUCUUUGUGUAGACACAAAGCUAAUGUCAUUCUCUUUCCCCUGCAUACAGAGGCCCAGAUGGGUUUGAGGUGCCUUGAGGACAAGGCUUCGGAAGGAGAUUAUACUAAUCACCAACUCAUAGGCCUGAGAGCUUGAGUUCUAUGUAGGUCGACUUGGGCUCAGAUGAUCUAGGCUAGGAUUGCCUGAGCUUUAUUUGCUGUUCAUUCUCCUGGAACCAAUGGGCUACUCAAGGAACUUUGAGACUGCACCAAAAUGGGUAUGCCACUGAAACAAGAGGUCAUGGGACUGUGUUGUAUGAGAUACAGGUAAGGCCCUGUAUAAUGACUCUGUUAAUGCCCACUUAAUACACAUCCUUCUGGAGUGA